rnacentral:sRNA from 1 species
CUGCUGCGGCACCAGUUGCUGCUGCUGCUGCGGCAGCAGCAGUUGCUGCUGCUGCUGCGGCAGCAGUUGCUGCUGCUGCUGCAGCAGAACGAUGCAGGAAGGAGAGCAUACAGCAACUACUAAGGGCAUAAUCAAAGGGAAAGCUGCUGCUGCAGUUGCUGCUGCUGCUGCAGUUGCUGCUGCUGCAGUUGCUGCUGCUGCAAUUGCUGCUGCUGCGGUUGCUGCUGCAGUUGCUGCUGCUGCUGCAGUUGCUGCUGCUGCUGCAGUUGCUGCUGCUGCAGCAGCAGCAGCAGCAACAGCAACAGCACUUUGGCUGUGUUUUCUU